GAUGAACGCUGGCGGCGUGCCUAAUACAUGCAAGUCGAGCGAACAGACGAGGAGCUUGCUCCUCUGACGUUAGCGGCGGACGGGUGAGUAACACGUGGAUAACCUACCUAUAAGACUGGGAUAACUUCGGGAAACCGGAGCUAAUACCGGAUAAUAUAUUGAACCGCAUGGUUCAAUAGUGAAAGACGGUUUUGCUGUCACUUAUAGAUGGAUCCGCGCUGCAUUAGCUAGUUGGUAAGGUAACGGCUUACCAAGGCGACGAUGCGUAGCCGACCUGAGAGGGUGAUCGGCCACACUGGAACUGAGACACGGUCCAGACUCCUACGGGAGGCAGCAGUAGGGAAUCUUCCGCAAUGGGCGAAAGCCUGACGGAGCAACGCCGCGUGAGUGAUGAAGGUCUUCGGAUCGUAAAACUCUGUUAUUAGGGAAGAACAAAUGUGUAAGUAACUAUGCGCGUCUUGACGGUACCUAAUCAGAAAGCCACGGCUAACUACGUG
rnacentral:rRNA from 1 species